UGAGGAGGACUGGUCAGCAUCAACAGCAUUUCUGAUCCCGUUAGCUGAAAUUUACCAGAAAUUACCAGAAAUUAGAGUGUGCCCGCCCGAGCGAGUGAUGGCUAAAACAUGCAAACAAAACUGAAGACCAGGAACUGGAACCUGGGAACCUGGAAGAGGAUGUUGUCCUGAAGGACACAAUUCAGGCAGCAGCAUGGUGCCAGGUACAGUCCUUCAAGGACAGCGUCUCUCUCCCAGAGGUCAUUGGGAUGGAAGGUUGGGAGCAGAGGGCAGCAUCAGUACAGCGCAAA